GCCAAGGAAGCAACCACAAUUCCAUUCAGUUGGAUUUUCGAUAGAGAAGUGAAGUUAUAAGUGCAGAAUGGAAUACAAAUGGUUUGUGGACGCUUUUUCAUAGACCUCAUAUCAGAGUCAGAUGUAGAGGUAGAAUUUUAGUUGCAUUUUGUUUACAAAUCCAGUUUAGUUCAACUUCUGUGGAAGGAGAGUUUGAUGGGGAAUGAAUUUGUAAGUUGUAGAUGCAGUUGUUUCUUAUGUGUUGUCAAGAGUAUGGUGAUAGGGGGCAGCUGUAGUUUUAAUAUUUGUGUUUCUUUUGCGUGGUUUCUUGUACUAGUUUGUUUUUGUCCCAAGUGUCUCGAGUAUAAGCACACAAUCCUUGUGGAAGUUUU
rnacentral:misc_RNA from 1 species